UAUGAAGUUUUAUUACAAGAAAAAGGGGUGAAAAGAACAAAGUUUUGUCCAUCUUUGUUCAUCAUAGCUGAAAUUUAGAGAAGAGAAAGGAGAGGAGAAAGCUCUUGAGUAUUUGGUCAUUAGGAGGAGGAAAAUUGAAGGUAAUCCCCAACCAUAGUGGGCUUAGAGCUGUGAGGGAAUUCGGAGUGGCCACCCGUUUUGAAAGUUUGAUUUUCUUCUGGUGAACUGGACAUCCUUUUAAUUACGUUUGAGGUUUUGGGCUUUUAAAUGUAAUAAGGCCGCUUAUUUAUUUUUGAUGGUUUUUAAUAUGUAUUACUAAGAUAGGUAAUACUUAUUUUAACUGUUGAAAUUGGAUAGCUUUAGGGCGCGUUUUCAAAAACAACAGUUGAUUUCAAAAUAACACGACAACAAGCAAAGCUUCCGCAAUGAAA